rnacentral:rRNA from 1 species
CAGAGGGUGCGAGCGUUGUUCGGAAUUACUGGGCGUAAGGCGCGCGCAGGCGGCCCUUUAAGUCCGUCGGUCAAAUGCCGGGGCUCAACCCCGAGCGUGCCGAGGAUACUGGAGGGCUGGAGACACGUAGAGGCAAGCGGAAUUCCGGGUGUAGCGGUGGAAUGCGUAGAGAUCCGGAAGAACACCGGAGGCGAAGGCGGCUUGCUGGGCGUGAUCUGACGCUGAGGCGCGAAAGCGUGGGGAGCGAACAGGAUUAGAUACCCUGGUAGUCCACGCCGUAAACGAUGGGCACUAGACGCCGGCGGGAUCGACCCCGUCGGUGUCGCAGCUAACGCGAUAAGUGCCCCGCCUGGGGAGUACGGCCGCAAGGCUG